rnacentral:lncRNA from 1 species
AGUAAGAACAGAAGGGAAAUGGGCGGCGAUGGCGGUGCCAUCGGCCAAGGUUGAGCAGAGGAGAGGGAGGAGCGUCGGCGGCGGCGACCAGCUGCUGGUCGUGGCAGCCGGAGUUCCGAGGGAGGCCACGGCACGGCAGUGGAGCUGCUGUCGCCCGGCCACGGUGAGAGAGCUUGAGGGCUGGGACUGGUGGUUAGGGUCUGGAGCGGCGGUGGCCAUGGCUCUUGCGGUGGCUGUCGGAAGUCAAAGGGAAGAGGGAGCAGUAGCUAGGGCACGACGGUGGUGGCGGUUUUGGCCGCUGCUCGCCGGAGGUUGCAGGAGGCAGGGGUUAUAGCUCGAGUUCUGGGGAUUGAGGGAGAGUGCUCGACGGCUCUGCUGUCAUUCCGAGCGGGCUAGGCGAGAGACGAGUCGAGGGAGAGUGAGCUGGGCAACGGCGGCUGUCGCUUUACCGGCGGCUGCUGCUGCGGCGCUGAGUAUGUGGGAGUGAGCGAAAAGCGAAAAAGAGAGGACGGG